UACGUAGGGGGCAAGCGUUGUCCGGAAUCAUUGGGCGUAAAGCGCGCGUAGGCGGCCAGAUAAGUCCGGUGUGAAAGUCACAGGCUCAACCUGUGAAUGCCGCUGGAAACUGUCUGGCUUGAGUCCGGAAGGGGCGAGUGGAAUUCCUGGUGUAGCGGUGAAAUGCGCAGAUAUCAGGAGGAACACCAAUGGCUAAGGCAGCUCGCUGGAACGGUACUGACGCUGAGGCGCGAAAGCGUGGGGAGCGAACAGG
rnacentral:rRNA from 1 species